rnacentral:tRNA from 1 species
GGCUACCUGGCGCAAUGGUAGCGCGUUUGGCUUCGAUCGCCGACGGCACCGUCAGUCACGUGACCAAAAGGUUGCAGGUUCGAGUCCUGCGGUGGUCA